rnacentral:lncRNA from 1 species
AAAAAAAAAAAAAAAAAAAAGCAAAACAUACUGAUUGAUUUGUCCUCAUAUAGCUUUAUGCACUGACCUUUUGCUUAAAGUCCAAAUGGGGGAACUUUCCAUAGUUGUCCUGUACGAACCAGUUAUUAGGUGCCCUUCUUUCUCUUUCUGUCCUGACUUGCUUUUUGUUAUCCUUUUUUAAUUUACUGUUUUGUGCCAGGCUGCAGCACCUGAGAAGCAUAUAUUCAACAGAUGUAUCUUACAGCAUUGAGUUUGAAGAGCAGAUUUUCAAGUCUGGGAUGUGUGUAAUGAGAAAGGACAUGAAGUCCAUUCAAGAUAGGCUUUUCAGGGACAUGCAUGAGGAGGAACUGCUGAGCGUACGCAAGGGGCUUCAAGCCUUGUUCCUGCCUGACAGGGGACUGUGACUCUGGAAGGGAUAAUAGUUUUUGGCUAAUCCUCUUCGUUUUCAGAUAUAAAUGAAUUUUUCUACUUCCAGAAUUUUAGAUUUUUCAGUUAACAACUUGCUGUAGAAGCAACUUGAUAAAAUUGCUAGUGUUCAGUGUUAGUCUUCAGAAGUAUAAUGACUCUAACAGGAACCACACGUUAUUCAAUUAACUGUUUUGUUGUAUAAUAUUUAAGGUUUGCUUUUUUGCACGUGUGUUUGAGUUUUUUGAUUUAUGGAACUCUAAAUCAGUAUCUGUGGCAUGUUGUUAUUUCCUGUGUUUGAACAUGCG